GACAGAGGCCUCGAGCGUUAGGCGGAAUCAUUGGGCGUAAAGCGCACGUAGGCGGCGAUCUAAGUCGGAUGUGAAAUCCCUCGGCUCAACCGAGGACGUGCAUCCGAAACUGGAUUGCUCGAGUAUGGAAGAGGGUCGCGGAAUUCUCGGUGUAGAGGUGAAAUUCGUAGAUAUCGGGAGGAACACCAGUGGCGAAGGCGGCGACCUGGGCCAAUACUGACGCUGAGGUGCGAAAGCGUGGGGAGCAAACAGG
rnacentral:rRNA from 1 species